rnacentral:rRNA from 1 species
UGGGGAAUAUUGGACAAUGGGGGGAACCCUGAUCCAGCCAUGCCGCGUGUGUGAAGAAGGCCUUUUGGUUGUAAAGCACUUUAAGCGAGGAGGAGGCUACCUAGAUUAAUACUUAGGAUAGUGGACGUUACUCGCAGAAUAAGCACCGGCUAACUCUGUGCCAGCAGCCGCGGUAAUACAGAGGGUGCGAGCGUUAAUCGGAUUUACUGGGCGUAAAGCGUGCGUAGGCGGCCAAUUAAGUCAAAUGUGAAAUCCCCGAGCUUAACUUGGGAAUUGCAUUCGAUACUGGUUGGCUAGAGUAUGGGAGAGGAUGGUAGAAUUCCAGGUGUAGCGGUGAAAUGCGUAGAGAUCUGGAGGAAUACCGAUGGCGAAGGCAGCCAUCUGGCCUAAUACUGACGCUGAGGUACGAAAGCAUGGGGAGCAAACAG